rnacentral:rRNA from 1 species
AUUGAACGCUGGCGGCAUGCCUUACACAUGCAAGUCGAACGGCAGCAUGGAGAGCUUGCUCUCUGAUGGCGAGUGGCGAACGGGUGAGUAAAGCAUCGGAACGUACCGUGUAGUGGGGGAUAACGUAGCGAAAGUUACGCUAAUACCGCAUACGCACUGAGGUGGAAAGCAGGGGAUCGUAAGACAUUGCGCUAUACGAGCGGCCGAUGUCAGAUUAGCUAGUUGGUAGGGUAAAGGCCUACCAAGGCGACGAUCUGUAGCGGGUUUGAGAGGAUGAUCCGCCACACUGGGACUGAGACACGGCCCAGACUCCUACGGAGGCAGCAGUGGGGAAUUUUGGACAAUGGGGGCAACCCUGAUCCAGCCAUGCCGCGUGAGUGAAGAAGGCCUUCGGGUUGUAAAGCUCUUUCGGCCGGGAAGAAAUCGCACAGGCUAAUACCCUGUGUGGAUGACGGUACCGGCAUAAGAAGCACCGGCUAACUACGUGCCAGCCGCCGCCGUAA